GACAGCAUGGUGUAGUGGUUUGGGAGUUGGACUAUGACUCUGGAGAACAGGGUUCGAUCCCCUGCUUAGCCA